rnacentral:rRNA from 1 species
GUGGGGAAUUUUGGACAAUGGGCGAAAGCCUGAUCCAGCCAUGCCGCGUGCAGGAUGAAGGCCUUCGGGUUGUAAACUGCUUUUGUACGGAACGAAAAGACUCCUUCUAAUAAAGGGGGUCCAUGACGGUACCGUAAGAAUAAGCACCGGCUAACUACGUGCCAGCAGCCGCGGUAAUACGUAGGGUGCAAGCGUUAAUCGGAAUUACUGGGCGUAAAGCGUGCGCAGGCGGUUAUAUAAGACAGAUGUGAAAUCCCCGGGCUCAACCUGGGAACUGCAUGUGUGACGGUAUAGCUAGAGUACGGUAGAGGGGGAUGGAAUUCCGCGUGUAGCAGUGAAAUGCGUAGAUAUGCGGAGGAACACCGAUGGCGAAGGCAAUCCCCUGGACCUGUACUGACGCUCAUGCACGAAAGCGUGGGGAGCAAACAGGAUUAGAUACCCUGGUAGUCC